rnacentral:lncRNA from 1 species
CAUCACACGAAGCUUGUUUUAGGAAAUCUACCAUGGAAUUAACGUCGUUCCACGAUAACUUUCCUCGCUGCUCCAAGGUCUUAAACCACUUCAACGGAUCUCCCGAUUCAAGAACUGAACAUGGCAAAUCGUCUCUAAAACAGAAUUCAAACAAGUCCUUUUCUCUUUUUCCAAAUUUCUCGUAAAUGUGUAGAAGUAAAUAAUUGUACAAAUUUCUUGGUGACGCCAAUGUUACGCAUCUUGAAUCUUUAUGAUUUUGUGUAUGAGUUUGCAUAAUAACUGAUAUAACUGAAGUCUUUUCG